AUGGAUCUAAACCUUUUCAACUGGAAUGUUCGUGGUCUGCACAACCCGGCUAAGCGAAGGACAGUUGCUAAACUGAUUGCUGAUCUGAAGUGUAACAUUGUCUGCCUGCAAGAGACAAAAUUGGAGAUGAUGGACAUAAUUUUGGUUGCUGAAUCCGUUGGUGCCAGAUUUUCUGACAACUUUGUGUACAAGCCAGCGGCUGGCUCCAGAGGGGGGAUUUUGAUUGCUUGUUCUGAUGAUUUCUCAGUUGAGCCGUUGCUGUCAAUCCCUGAUGAGUUCUCUAUUACAGCUACGAUAACGGACAAAUCUAACAAUGCUUCUUGGAGUAUCACUGCUGUUUAUGGCCCCCAGAACACGCCUGACAAGCUCCGGUUCCUCACUGAGCUUGCUGCUUUGAAACCACUUGUGUUGAAAGAGUGGCUUGUGUUAGGUGAUUUCAACCUAAUUUGUAAGGCUGAAGAAAAAAGCAACACCAAUGUUAACUUUAGACUGAUGGGUCAAUUCAGAAAUACCAUUGAUUUGCUGGAAAUGAGAGACUUGCCGCUGUGUGGGAAGAAAUUCACUUGGUCCAAUGAAAGAGCAGGCACAACUCUUACGAGGAUAGAUCGUAUGCUCAUAUCCAAUGACUGGGAGCUGAGAUACCCCCAAUACCAGCUCUCUCCCGCAUCGUCUGCUGUCUCGGACCACUCCCCGUUGUUGCUCAAGAAGAUGGAUGUCAAGGUGUUUAAAGGGUUCAGAUUUGAAGCUUACUGGUUGAAGUUGCAGGACAUCGAUGAAGUGGUCUCUCUGAGCUGGAAUAAGCCUCUAGCAUCGGCAGAACCAGUGAGACGACUGCACGCUAAGCUUGCCCGCACUGCUCUGGCUCUGAAAAGAUGGGAGAAAAAGAUAAAAUCUGCUUCCAACCUGGCCUUCAACGUAGAAAAUGAGGUUAUUUUCAACCUGGAUUUGGCAAUGGAAGAGCGUGAGCUCUCGGAAGCUGAAUGGAGCCUUCGUCGAAAGCUCAAGGCCAGACUGCUCGGUAUAGCAGCCAUGGGGCGGAUCGCUUGGCGCCAGCGCUCAAGGAUCACCAAGAUCAAAGCUAGCGAUGCGAGCUCAAAGCUCUUCCACCUCCGAGCAAAUGGGCGUAGGAGGAAAAACCACAUUCCCAGCCUUCAAAGCCAAAAUGGCGCUGUCACUGAUCACAAACUGAAGGAAGAAAUUCUCCUGAACCACUUCAAAUCCUUGAUGGGGACAAGAGACUCUGGAAGAUUGACAAUUAAUUGGGCACAGCUGCAGCACCCAACGGCGGACCUGCAGCACCUCGAGUUGCCUUUCACGGAAGACGAGAUCAAGGGUGCAGUUUUUGAUUUGCAUGAUGAGAAAGCACCGGGGCCGGAUGGUUUCAUUGGAAAAUUCUUCAAGAGGUUCUGGAGCCUCAUAAAGGACGAUUUGGUUGCAGCUGUUCAUCAAUUAUUUUGCCUUAGGGGGGGCAACUGGAGAUUGCUCAAUUCAGCCCACAUUGUUUUGCUUCCAAAAUCUACAGCUGCUAGAUGUGCCUCUGAUUUCAGACCUGUGAGUCUAAUUCAUAGUUUUGCAAAGAUUUUUUGCAAACUUCUGGCAAACCGAUUGGGCCCUGAGUUACAGAAGCUGAUCUCCUGCACUCAAAGUGCGUUCAUUCAGGGAAGGUCUAUACAAGACAACUUCCUCUACGUCCAGAACACCAUAAAGAAUGCAUACAAGAAGAACAUUCCUCUGGUUUUCCUGAAGCUUGAUUUUGCCAAGGCUUUUGACUCCGUUCAUUGGCCGUAUCUGAUUGAUGUCAUGAAGGCCUAUGGUUUUGGACAACGAUGGAGAGAUAUCAUUUGCCAGCUUCUUGCAUCCUCCUCAUCACGGAUUCUGCUGAAUGGUUGCCCUGGACCGGCGUUUACCCACUUGAAGGGCUUGCGGCAGGGAGAUCCUCUGUCCCCAAUGCUGUUUAUUCUGGCCAUGGACCCACUGCUGCGUAUGUUAGAUGCGGCUACGGCCAGAGGCCUACUUGAACCAAUUCCUCAGAAUGCUGUCAGAAUGAGAGCAAGUUUAUAUGCAGACGAUGCUGCUAUUUUUGUAUCCCCAAACCAUUCGCAGAUCAUGGCCACUCUCAGUAUUCUUGAGGCUUUUGGCAACAUCUCUGGUCUAAAAAUCAACCCUGCAAAAUGUGUUGCAUACCCUAUCCGCUGCCACCAGGUGGAAUUACAGAGCAUGCUCCCGGAUUUCGAGGGACCUGUUGGUUCCUUCCCCUGCAAAUAUCUGGGGCUUCCCCUCUCCUUCAGAAGAUUAAGGAGAAUUGAUCUGCAACCUUUCCUUGACAAAGGGGCUGGGAGGAUGAGCAUUUGGAAGGGGAAACUACUGAACCGGACUGGCCGUCUGGACCUGAUCAAUUCAGUCCUAUCGGCGACGAUCACCUUUUUUCUUACAUCCUUCGCCCCAAGUGGUUGGUUCACUAGGAAGUUUGACAAACUGAGAAGGAACUUCCUCUGGAAUGCUGACGAAGAGGCCCACGGUGGCAAGUGCCUUGUAAACUGGAAGAUGAUCUGUGCCCCAAAGAAUGUGGGAGGUCUAGGCAUUAAGGAUAUCCAGGCUUUCGGUAGAGCCCUCCGUCUCAGAUGGCCAUGGUUUGAAUGGGACAACCUGGAUAGGCCAUGGAAAGGAACUCCUGUCCCGUGUGAGAUGGCUGACCUAAAUCUUUUCGCGGCCUGCACCUCGAUCUCCCUAGGGGAUGGCUUGACGGCCAAAUUCUGGUCCCAUAGGUGGCUAGGAGGAAACGCACCAAAGGAAUUAGCGCCUGGGCUGUACAAUCUAGCCAGAUCGAAGCAGCUAACAGUCCGCGAGGCCCUGCACAAUGGGUCUUGGAUGCGAGGGCUAAGGAAUAUCAACUCUGCCAUCCUUAUGGAUUCGUUCAUUGAUCUAUGGUGGAGAUUGCAGGAAACUGUACUAUUGCCAAGACCGGACACAAUCUCCUGGAACUUCUCGCCGAAUGGGGAAUACUCGGCUAAAUCGGCAUACCUUGUGCAGUUCCUCACUAGGAUACCACAGCCACAUCUUCACAGCGUUUGGAACAUCAAAGCUGAGCGAAAAAUCAAAUUCUUUGUCUGGACACUUUUGCAGAACAGACUCUGGACUGCUGACAGGUUGCUUGCGAGGCGGUGGGAUCAUAACGAUGCUUGUUCGGCAGCGUGGCUGCCUGUUUUUCUUUCUUCUUCCUAA
rnacentral:rRNA from 1 species